rnacentral:rRNA from 1 species
UGGGGAAUAUUGCACAAUGGGCGAAAGCCUGAUGCAGCAACGCCGCGUGAGUGAUGAAGGUCUUCGGAUUGUAAAGCUCUGUCUUUUGGGACGAUAAUGACGGUACCAAAGGAGGAAGCCACGGCUAACUACGUGCCAGCAGCCGCGGUAAUACGUAGGUGGCGAGCGUUGUCCGGAUUUACUGGGCGUAAAGGGUGCGUAGGCGGAUGUUUAAGUGAGAUGUGAAAUACCCGGGCUUAACUUGGGUGCUGCAUUUCAAACUGGAUAUCUAGAGUGCAGGAGAGGAGAAUGGAAUUCCUAGUGUAGCGGUGAAAUGCGUAGAGAUUAGGAAGAACACCAGUGGCGAAGGCGAUUCUCUGGACUGUAACUGACGCUGAGGCACGAAAGCGUGGGUAGCAAACAGGAUUAGAUACCCUGGUAGUCCACGCCGUAAACGAUGAGUACUAGGUGUAGGAGGUAUCGACCCCUUCUGUGCCGCAGUAAAACACAUUAAGUACUCCGCCUGGGAAGUACGAUCGCAAGAUUAAAAACUCU